rnacentral:rRNA from 1 species
AUUGAACGCUGGCGGCAGGCUUAACACAUGCAAGUCGAGCGGUAACAGAGAGAAGCUUGCUUCUCUGCUGACGAGCGGCGGAUGGGUGAGUAAUGCCUAGGAAUCUGCCUAGUAGUGGGGGAUAACUUGCCGAAAGGUAAGCUAAUACCGCAUACGUCCUACGGGAGAAAGGAGGGGACCUUCGGGCCUUUCACUAUUAGAUGAGCCUAGGUCGGAUUAGUUAGUUGGUGAGGUAAUGGCUCACCAAGACCGCGAUCCGUAACUGGUCUGAGAGGAGUAUCAGUCACACUGGCACUGGGACACGGUCCAGACUCCUACGGGAGGCAGCAGUGGGGAAUAUUGGACAAUGGGGGGAACCCUGAUCCAGCCAUGCCGCGUGUGUGAAGAAGGUCUUAGGAUUGUAAAGCACUUUAAGUUGGGAGGAAGAGCAGUUAACUAAUAUUUGACUGUUUUGACGUUACCGACAGAAUAAGCACCGGCUAACUUCGUGCCAGCCGCCGCGGUAA